rnacentral:rRNA from 1 species
UACGUAGGGUGCGAGCGUUGUCCGGAAUUAUUGGGCGUAAAGAGCUCGUAGGCGGUCUGUCGCGUCUGCUGUGAAAACUCAGGGCUUAACCCUGAGCUUGCAGUGGGUACGGGCAGACUAGAGUGCGGUAGGGGAGACUGGAAUUCCUGGUGUAGCGGUGAAAUGCGCAGAUAUCAGGAGGAACACCGAUGGCGAAGGCAGGUCUCUGGGCAUUAAACUG